AUUUAUGCCCUUUAUUUAACAUUGCAAUGGAAGACUCGUUUCAUUGAUGAGAUUUUUCGUACAUACAUGGACACUAGUAAAUAGAGCCGCGAAUCAACAAUCAAGUUUCAUUUUGUCAGUAAUCAUUAACUUUAAUCAAAACUACGGUCUUUAACACUGGAGAAACUAAAGUGCUAUGAAAAUAUAAAAACAAAUAUACAAAAUUAGCAAUAACCACAUCAAUACGCUAAAUAUGGACUGACAACAUCGUGGACACAAGAAGUGUUAUAAUUCUAUCGAAUGCCAUCAGGCAGGGAUUUCCCAUAUUGUAGUCUGCUAGAUAUGAGUAUGUUUUUACUUCAUCUUUAGAACUUAAUUGUAGUAUUUACGUCAUUCAACGACAAUAUUAUCUACUCAUCUUCUGAUUAACUUGUACAAACA
rnacentral:lncRNA from 1 species